rnacentral:rRNA from 1 species
GACGAACGCUGGCGGCGUGCUUAACACAUGCAAGUCGAACGGCAAGGCACUGCUUUUGUGGGGUGCUCGAGUGGCGAACGGGUGCGUAACACGUGAGUAACCUGCCCUUGACUUUGGGGUAACUUCAGGAAACUGGGGCUAAUACAGGAUAGGAGCUCAUGCAGCAUGGAGGGGGUUGGAAAGUUUCGGCGGGUGGGGAUGGACUCGCGGCUUAUCAGCUUGUUGGUGGGGUAGUGGCUUACCCAGGAUUGGACGGGUAGCCGGCCUGAGAGGGUGACCGGCGACAUUGCGACUGCGAUACGGCCCAGACUCCUACGGGAGGCAGCAGUGGGGAAUAUUGCACAGUGGGCGCAAGUCUGAUGCAGCAACGCCGCGUGCGUGAUGACGGCCUUCGGGUUGUAAACCGCUUUCGCCUGUGACGACGCUUGAGUGACGGUAAUGGGUAAAGAAGCACCGGCUAACUACGUG